rnacentral:ncRNA from 1 species
AAAACCAAGUCUCUAAGCAAUGGAUGUCUUGGCUCCUCACACGAUGAAGAACGUGGCAUAAUGUGUUAAGUAACCGGAGUUGCAAACAUCAUGACAGGUUAAUCUUUGAAUGCAAAUUGCGCUAAACUCGAUCUCGGUCGAGAAGCAUGGGUGUGACAGUACUACAUCUUUUAUAAUAAUUCUUAUUCUAAGCGAAUAAGUAAAUAAUAUAUAAGACAAACAACACGUAGUCUGCCAUACGCAGGAAGACCCGCUGAACUGAAGCAUCUCAUUAAGCGGAGGAAAAGAAACUAACUAGGAUUCCCUUAGUAAAGGCGAUCGAAAAGGGAACAGCCCAACGUCUUAAUCCCGCAAGGGA